UGGGCUUGACAUCCCACGAACCUCACCGAAAGGUGGGAAUGCCCGCAAGGGAGCGCGGAGACAGGUGGUGCAUGGCUGUCGUCAGCUCGUGUCGUGAGAUGUUGGGUUAAGUCCCGCAACGAGCGCAACCCUCACCCCUUGUUGCUACCAGGUCAGGCUGGGCACUCUAGGGGAACUGCCCCGGUCAACGGGGAGGAAGGCGGGGAUGACGUCAAGUCACCAUGCCCCUUACGUCCUGGGCUACACACGUGCUACAAUGGCCGGUACAAAGGGAUGCAACACCGCGAGGUAGAGCUAAACCCAAAAAGCCGGUCUAAGUUCAGAUUGGAGUCUGCAACUCGACUCCAUGAAGGAGGAAUCGCUAGUAAUCGCGUAUCAGCACGACGCGGUGAAUACGUUCCCGGGCCUUGUACACACCGCCCGUCACACCACGAAAGCCAGCUGUACUCGAAGUCGCUGAGAAUCUC
rnacentral:rRNA from 1 species